rnacentral:rRNA from 1 species
UUGCCCUGUGUUGCCAUGCCGAAAGGCGGAACUCGCAGGGGACCGCUACCGAUAAGGUGGAGGAAGGUGGGGAUGACGUCAAGUCAUCAUGGCCUUUAUGUCCAGGGCUACACACGUGCUACAAUGGACGGUACAAAGCGCUGCUAAGUCGCGAGAUGGAGCUAAUCGCAAAAAACCGUUCUCAGUUCGGAUCGCAGGC